UACGGGGGAUGCGAGCGUUAUCCGGAUUUAUUGGGUUUAAAGGGUGCGUAGGCGGUCAGGUAAGUUAGAGGUGAAAGCUCGAUGCUCAACAUCGAAACUGCCUCUGAUACUGUCUGACUAGAGUGUAGUUGCGGAAGGCGGAAUGUGUGGUGUAGCGGUGAAAUGCUUAGAUAUCACACAGAACACCGAUUGCGAAGGCAGCAUACCGGCGCCCUACUGACGCUGAGGCACGAAAGUGCGGGUAUCGAACAGG
rnacentral:rRNA from 1 species